GUUACAGCCGCCUGUCUCUGGU
rnacentral:miRNA from 1 species